ACACUCAACCUCUACACAUUCAUAACUCAACUACUUAGCUAACUACCACAUAGCUAGCUAGCAUUUUCCUUUUUGUCGCUGCUAUAUAAUAAUACUUGCUAGUAGUUAGAAAAUUAUACAAUUAUUACAAACCACAAAUGUAUAUAAUAUAUAUCUAUAAUUUGAGAUAAUAAAUGGCCAAUCAUACCCAACUAAAUACCACUCAUUAAUGGCUACUUUCAAAAAAAGGUACACACAUAAAAUUUCAUAUUACAGGAAAUGUGUGAUGUCAUAGGUCAAUUAUAAGAACUUAGAGCUGUUAGAUUGGAAGUAGCAAAAAAAUGUAGUGGUGACAAGGUAUGCGAAGUCUCUUCCAUUGCCUUUAGAUUAAUAGACCACACACAACAUUUGCAUUAAACUUCUCAAAAUUAGAAUAUUUAUUUUACCUAUGCCCAACGAGGCAAGUAAAAAUCUUUUGUCAGCUAU
rnacentral:lncRNA from 1 species